CCUACGGGUGGCAGCAGUGGGGAAUAUUGCACAAUGGGGGAAACCCUGAUGCAGCGACGCCGCGUGAAGGAUGAAGUAUUUCGGUAUGUAAACUUCUAUCAGCAGGGAAGAAAAUGACGGUACCUGACUAAGAAGCCCCGGCUAACUCCGUGCCAGCAGCCGCGGUCAUACGUAGGGGGCAAGCGUUAUCCGGAUUUACUGGGUGUAAAGGGAGCGUAGACGGCGUGCCAAGUCUGAUGUGAAAUGCCGGGGCUCAACCCCGGGACUGCAGUGGAAACUGGCAUGCUGGAGUGCAGGAGGGGCAAGCGGAAUUCCUAGUGUAGCGGUGAAAUGCGUAGAGAUUAGGAGGAACACCGGUGGCGAAGGCGGCUUGCUGGACGGUAACUGACGUUGAGGCUCGAAAGCGUGGGGAGCAAACAGGAUUAGAUACCCCAGUAGUC
rnacentral:rRNA from 1 species